rnacentral:rRNA from 1 species
CACGUAGGGCGCAAGCGUUGUCCGGAAUUAUUGGGCGUAAAGAGCUCGUAGGCGGUCUGUUACGUCUGCUGUGAAAACCCGGGGCUUAACCCUGGGCUUGCAGUGGAUACGGGCAGACUAGAGGCAGGUAGGGGAGAAUGGAAUUCCCGGUGUAGCGGUGAAAUGCGCAGAGAUCGGGAGGAACACCUGUGGCGAAGGCGGCUCGCUGGGCCGGUCCUGACGCUGAGGCGCGAAGGCCGGGGGGAGCGAACGGG